AGUGAACGCUGGCGGUAGGCCUAACACAUGCAAGUCGAACGGCAGCACAGUAAGAGCUUGCUCUUACGGGUGGCGAGUGGCGGACGGGUGAGGAAUACAUCGGAAUCUACUUUUUCGUGGGGGAUAACGUAGGGAAACUUACGCUAAUACCGCAUACGACCUACGGGUGAAAGCAGGGGAUCUUCGGACCUUGCGCGAUUGAAUGAGCCGAUGUCGGAUUAGCUAGUUGGCGGGGUAAAGGCCCACCAAGGCGACGAUCCGUAGCUGGUCUGAGAGGAUGAUCAGCCACACUGGAACUGAGACACGGUCCAGACUCCUACGGGAGGCAGCAGUGGGGAAUAUUGGACAAUGGGCGCAAGCCUGAUCCAGCCAUACCGCGUGGGUGAAGAAGGCCUUCGGGUUGUAAAGCCCUUUUGUUGGGAAAGAAAAGCAGCAGGUUAAUACCCCGUCGUUCUGACGGUACCCAAAGAAUAAGCACCGGCUAACUUCGUG
rnacentral:rRNA from 1 species